ACCCUGCCCAAAGAGAAAUUUAAAGCCCUUGUAGAGACUUAGCCCCUAUCUUAUUGCCAAAUAAACUUUGGUUCAAUUUUUUUAAUAAAUGGGAAGAAAAUCUUACCUCUGCAGAUUCCUGUGACACACGGUUAUUACCUAAAGACAGACAACAUCCCAAAAAAGACUGACUAAGAUGUUUUCAAGUGGACAGGUCCUCUCAAGAAGCAUCUUCUGGUCAUCAAAUUACAUGAACGGAACAUCAUGUAAAAAUAAGGCACCAGGGACAGUCAAUGUUGUGUCGAAUAAAGUCUGACCUGCUUAAUCCUGACAAGAGUCCACUGCACAGUUAAAAAUUGACAGUAGUCGCCGAACUCGCAGUGGCAAUUUGAGUGACUGAAUCUAAACGAGGCCAGCAGUCCUAAUGCUCACAUUUAAUUUAGGAUUAAACAGUUUUCUAGCUGG